UACGGGGGGGGCAAGCGUUGUUCGGAAUUACUGGGCGUAAAGCGCGUGUAGGCGGUCCGGUAAGUCCGCUGUGAAAGUCGGGGGCUCAACCCUCGGAUGCCGGUGGAUACUGUCGGGCUUGAGUACGGAAGAGGCGAGUGGAAUUCCUGGUGUAGCGGUGAAAUGCGCAGAUAUCAGGAGGAACAUCAAUUGCGAAGGCAGCUCGCUGGGACGUUACUGACGCUGAGACGCGAAAGCGUGGGGAGCAAACAGG
rnacentral:rRNA from 1 species